rnacentral:rRNA from 1 species
AACGAACGCUGGCGGCAUGCCUAACACAUGCAAGUCGAACGAGACCUUCGGGUCUAGUGGCGCACGGGUGCGUAACGCGUGGGAACCUUCCCUUAGGGUCGGAAUAACUCCCCGAAAGGGGUGCUAAUACCGGAUAAUGUCUUCGGACCAAAGAUUUAUCGCCUUUGGAUGGGCCCGCGUUGGAUUAGCUAGUUGGUAGGGUAAAAGCCUACCAAGGCGACGAUCCAUAGCUGGUCUGAGAGGAUGAUCAGCCACACUGGGACUGAGACACGGCCCAGACUCCUACGGGAGGCAGCAGUGGGGAAUAUUGGACAAUGGGCGGAAGCCUGAUCCAGCAAUGCCGCGUGAGUGAUGAAGGCCUUAGGGUUGUAAAGCUCUUUUACCCGAGAUGAUAACGACAGUACCGGGAGAAUAAGCUCCGGCUAACUCCGU